rnacentral:rRNA from 1 species
ACGGAGGGUGCAAGCGUUAUCCGGAUUCACUGGGUUUAAAGGGUGCGUAGGAGGGCUGGUAAGUCAGUGGUGAAAUCCCCGAGCUUAACUUGGAAACUGCCAUUGAUACUAUCAGUCUUGAAUACCGUGGAGGUUAGCGGAAUAUGUCAUGUAGCGGUGAAAUGCUUAGAUAUGACAUAGAACACCAAUUGCGAAGGCAGCUUACUAAGGCGAUACUGACACUGAGGCACGAAAGCGUGGGGAUCGAACAGGA